rnacentral:rRNA from 1 species
UGGGGAAUACUGCACAAUGGGCGAAAGCCUGAUGCAGCGACGCCGCGUGAGGGAUGACGGCCUUCGGGUUGUAAACCUCUUUCAGUAGGGACGAAGCGCAAGUGACGGUACCUGCAGAAGCAGCACCGGCUAACUACGUGCCAGCAGCCGCGGUAAUACGUAGGGUGCGAGCGUUGUCCGGAAUUACUGGGCGUAAAGAGCUCGUAGGCGGUUUGUCACGUCGUCUGUGAAAUCCUAGGGCUUAACCCUGGACGUGCAGGCGAUACGGGCUGACUUGAGUACUACAGGGGAGACUGGAAUUUCUGGUGUAGCGGUGGAAUGCACAGAUAUCAGGAAGAACACCGAUGGCGAAGGCAGGUCUCUGGGUAGUAACUGACGCUGAGGAGCGAAAGCAUGGGUAGCGAGCAGG